rnacentral:rRNA from 1 species
UACGCAGGUGGCAAGCGCUAUCCGGAUUUAUUGGGCGUAAAGGGAACGCAGGCGGUCUUUUAAGUCUGAUGUGAAAGCCUUCGGCUUAACCGGAGUAGUGCAUUGGAAACUGGGAGACUUGAGUGCAGAAGAGGAGAGUGGAACUCCAUGUGUAGCGGUGAAAUGCGUAGAUAUAUGGAAGAACACCAGUGGCGAAAGCGGCUCUCUGGUCUGUAACUGACGCUGAGGUUCGAAAGCGUGGGUAGCAAACAGG